rnacentral:rRNA from 1 species
AAUGGACUUGGCGGCAAGACAGCUAGUUAGAGGAACCUGCCCUUUAAAUGAUGAACCACGAAUACCCUACUUGCUCUAGUAAGAUACCGUUUGUAUAUCACUGUUGUCAGUUAGUUUUUGUAAAAUACUUUCAUUUACGUUAUAAACGUAGACUUCAAGUAAUGUGGCAGCUUAUGAGGAAGAGAGAGGUGGGUUACAAUAAUGAAUUUUAGAUGGAUAGAAAAAUGAAGUAUUUUUUUUGAAAGUGGAUUUAAUUGUAAAUUUUUAAAUAAUUGAUUUAAGCUCUGUUUUGUGUACAUACCGCCCGUC